UCUAAUCCCUUGAAUCUAUUUGUCACUUCCACUGUAUAAUCAUAAGGGAUUUUAUUUCUAUAUACUGAUAUAUGUGCAGGUGAGGGUCCCACCUGUGGGUUGGAGUCCCACAGAUGACUUACAGUUGGCUGGUUUCAGGCCUGAUGACCUGGUGGGCAGUGGACAGGGUGUUACCUCCUUCACUGGCCCAUUCUGGAAGCACAAAGUCUGGUGCCUGAACAGACAUCCACAGAAGGUGGGUAAGAUGGGCAAUCUCUUUCUCUUUUCCAGUCUUUUCAGUCCUGCCUCCCUUUACCUCUCCCUUGGUUCUCUUAUCUACCCGCCCAUCCUUUUUGCCUUGGAGACUCCUUGUUGCUCACCUGUUUUCAUGAACCCCACACUUUUCUGUUUUGUGGUCCAGCUGGCAGAAGGGCUAGUCGAGAAAGGAGUUGGACUGGACAAAGUCCUCCAGAGGCCACCUUGCAAUAAUACCAUGUCUUCGUUUCUUGUUUGUGUCCUUAGGUUUCUGUCAUUGAUACCUGCUGACUCUUAGUCAGUGAAUGUAUCAGGAUCUUUGUUUUAUGUGGUUUUGUCUGUCCAGCCACUCCUGCAAGUCUCCACCUCAUUGUGCCUGUGGGUUGAGCACGUAAGCCUUAAAAUACAAGCACAGCCCACAUUGCCUGAGACUGCAGCCUUAGGUUACUUAGUAGGGCUUUAAAGAACAGGGAGCAGGGGGAAGGAGCUUGCAUUUCUCUGCCCAGUCUUUAAAAUGUAACUGUUAUGCCUGGGCUUUCAGGAACUAUCUGAUCCAGAAUCUGCAGCCCCCAGACUGAAGAGGAAAAGAAAAGAAGCCUUUUAAAACUCAAGCCAGAAAACUACAGUUAAGCUGAUGCUUUGCAAAAAUGCUUCAUCUUCAAGAAGAUUUACAGAGACAGCAUUUGGACAAGUACAGAUAUAAGGAAACCCUUCCUGUCAUGCUAAUUAUAAUUCACAGCGAUUUGUAAUCCACUGUAGGAGCCGUCAGAGGGAUGGACCUUUUGUGAGCCACGGGAACGGCAAAGCUGAUAGAGCUGCAAAACGGGCAGCUUGACUGUCACAACAGAAGAACAGUACGCCUGUGAGCCAGGGGAAAACCUGAGAUACCUAUUCAGAAGACAGGCGCCAUCGACAGGUAAGUAAAAUGAUGUGGUGACCUUGACUCCUACUUGCUAUUGUUAACUCUUGCUUGCAUUCUGCCAGUUGGCUUAGCCACCCCCGCCAGGGAAGUGGCUCUUUUGUCUGUGCUGGGUUUAAGGGAAACACUCCACCACAGAAAUGCUUCCCCUAUUGACUCUGUCUGCUUUACUAGUCCCUGUAACUAGAGGAUAAUGGCAAGGAAACUCACUUAUCAACAUUUCCAGAAUCAUAUCCAAAGGAGAACAUGUAAAAGAUGCUGGAUGUGCCAUCAACACCCCCAGCUGGCCACUGGCCCUACUCUUGCAUCCUCCUGAAACUGCCAAUUCCAAUGGUAAUUAACAAUCUAAAUCAGGGACAAUUACCACC